GGGCUCCACUUAAUCAGGGCUUCCUACACCUCCUUUCAGACUAUUUUAGUUCCUGUGGCUCUGUAUAACGUUUCUUCACCCCAGCCAUCCCUUCUUUCAAUCUCUCACAGGUCCCCGUAGUUCAGUGCUCAGGACUGUGCCUUCCACCAGGGGGCGAUGUCACUUUAUUUAUCAGGAAAGAUACUCCAUCAGGUUCAUUCUGUGCCUCAGUGUUAAUUGACACGGUUUACCAAAACGGGGGGAGCCAGUAGUGAUAGAGAAACUGAGGCACGGGGAGGUUAAAUGGCUGAAUGAAAGUCAAGAGGCACGUGAACGGCCACGGCGCGAGUGUGCUGACCUUACUCUUGUCUUCUUUCAGCUGCUGAUCCUGAGCUCCACCUGACGGGGCCUCCCAGAAUACAGGCGGCGCCAGACAGGAGCCAUGAGCACGGGCCAGGGGCCAGGACUGGUCUGGAUGCCAGGUUUCCUUUCCCAUUUCAGCAACUUCUGAGGAUCUCUGAGCGGUUCCCUCGUCCUCCUCUUGGCAGUGGAGCACCACCCAUGGAAGCCUGCCUGUCGCGCUACCCUUCAGAAUGGAAUUGAAAAGUUUGCAAAGCCAGCCUUUGCCCGUGGGAUGGCUGGACAGACGGGACGAGAAUAGCUGGCUUGGCAGAAUGUUAGGGCCCCAGUGGGAGAAGUCAUGGAGCUGCUAAUGACAUGCUGCGCUCCUCGGGAACCCAAUGUCACCCUACAGAAGCCCUGGCCCCACGGCCCUUUCCAACAACCAGAGAACAGCCGCAGGAAUGAAUUGACCAGGGAGGAGGAACGAAUUGUCAAAUGGACUGGGGAGGUGCCUCAGCGGGGGGGGGGGGGGCAUCUGAGAUUGAGGUCUCAAAGGUAAUAGGUGAAGAGUGACCAACACCCAUCUCCAGCCCCUACCCAUCUGGACACACACACAUACCACACACACACACACACACACACACACCCGACAAUGCUCACAAACACAAAUGGAAAAAACACCAAACAGAUAACACCACAUACACACUUGCACACAUAUAUACACAAAAAUAGACAAAUAAAUAGAGCGCGACAGUAUGUCGGGGCACAGGGCAUGCUCCCCAUGGUAGGCUGCAGGGGAUGCUCCACUGACUCUCGUGUUCCUCUCCCAGGAGCUGCUGUGGUCUGAUGAGAGAGAGCCACUUGGGAAUAUGGAGGAAGCCUUUGAUGCUUAGCCCAGGCUCCCUUGAGAUGAUGACCUCUGACCCACGCUCCGCUGACCCAGGCUCUGCUGACCCAGGCUCUGCUGACCUAGGCUCUGCGUCAUCUUGGGCUUCAUUUGUUAGCUGUUGAUGUGCUUCUCUCCAUGACCCUUGCCUUAGCCCUGGAGGGAUAGCUUUCGCUGUGUGGAAAGCACUUGGGUUCUGGUUGCUUAGGUUUCAAAGCAGGAAUGAAAUUGAGGACAAAGGACUUCAGGCGCCUGACAAAGUGUCCAGCUCGGUGACACACUUUCUUUCUUCUGUCAUACUGGCACGGGUUGGCCUUUGCAACCUGGCCUUUGUCUCGAUAUGUAUCUCUGGGUGGCCUUGAACUUGCUAUACAGACAAGGUUGACCUCAAACUCACAGAGUUCCAUCUACCUCUGCCUCUCAAGGGCUGGGAUUAAAGGCGUGCACUAGCAUACCUGGUUAAUACAUGCCACUGAAAAAGGAAACCACAAGCUGAAAAACAAGCAAAUGAACCAACCCCACAUCUCCCAAAUACAAAACCACCGGAGUCUUGGUCUCUCCUAAGUUUGACAUAAACUUGAUACAAUGUAUCGAGCUGUAUCUUGAGCUGUCUUGCCACUGCUUGACCUUCAUUUAUUUCUCCGAAGAACAGUCAGGGCUGCUCGGGUUCCCCUGGGUUAGCUGCUUUUUGAGAAAUCUCCAUCUCAUUCUGAGUCCAUCUGCCCCAGUUGACUCCAGAUUAGAGACACCUAACCUAUCUUCACUUUAUCAAUAAGGAGUCAAGAAACCAGUUGGGUAGAUGUGAAACCUCCCAGUGGAAUGAGCCAGCUGUGGAGUUGGCCAUCAUCUGGUGGGUCUCUAAACCUUUCUUCUGCUUUUGACCUCCAGGUUGGCAUCUCAACAUCAACAUUAAAGAGUGCUGCCUUUCGGGUUGGGGAUUUAGCUCAGUGGUAGAGCGCUUGCCUAGGAAGCGCAAGGCCCUGGGUUCAGUCCCCAGCUCCGGAAAAAAAAAAAAAAAAAAAAAAAAACCAAAAAAAAAAAAGAGUGCUGCCUUUCCAACCUCCACCACUAAACCCAUCGUGUGUGUGUGUGUGUGUGUGUGUGUGUGUGUGUGUGUGUGUGUGUGCCCCUCUCCUGAGCUACAUGCCCAGCUUUAUGAAUCCUGCUGUCCUGCUUUGAGCCAGGUUUUCAGUAAGCCAAGUCUUCUGGGUGGCGCCAUGACAUGGAGAAAUGCUACAUUCUUCCCUCACAAGGCUUCCAAGACUCUCUGUUGCCCCUGCAGCAUCCUAGGGGAAAUUAAGCCCCCCCCCUUCUGCUGCUUGUUAAUGUUAGGAACAGAGAGACAGGGGACAGGCUGGGUCCACAUGCUGGGUGGGAAGCUUCGUGUCCCUUACAGGAAUGAGGAGAAGUUUAUCCUUGUGUUUUCCUAUAUAGAUAACCAAGAAUGCGAUUUCGCUCUGCCUAAGAUAUGUGCCAAGAAAUAGGAACUCUCCUCAGGGCUGCUAGGCCAGGGCAGGUCACAUCUCUGGUUGGAGCACAUCUGCUUAUUCUCGACAGGCGUCCUUAAGUGCUCUGCUGGGGUACUAGAGGGCCAAUAACGUCUCUCCUUCUCAUGAACUGGCACUUGGAUUUGGAAUUUCUGGAGAAGCCUAUGGGAAUUCACAGGCUUCUGUCUGACGUCAAAUCUGCCCUCUUCUCCUUCUGUCCCAUUCUGAGAUUUGCCCUCUGCCUCUCUAUGCCCAGCCUUGGGAGGGGAUGACGGGAGGCACUGGCUUGCACCCCUGCCUUCCCCCUUCAAUUUGUUGGCCUUUUUAUGCUGGCACAGCAAAGAGUAGAAAAGUUCAGUCUGUUUGUUUUGCCUGGG